rnacentral:rRNA from 1 species
UACGGAAGGCAGCAGUGGGGAAUAUUGCACAAUGGGCGCAAGCCUGAUGCAGCCAUGCCGCGUGUAUGAAAAAGGCCUUCGGGUUGUAAAGUACUUUCAGUCGUGAGGAAGGUGUUAAGGUUAAUAACCUUAGCAAUUGACGUUAGCGACAGAAGAAGCACCGGCUAACUCCGUGCCAGCAGCCGCGGUAAUACGGAGGGUGCGAGCGUUAAUCGGAAUUACUGGGCGUAAAGGGCACGCAGGCGGUUAAUUAAGUUGGAUGUGAAAUCCCCGGGCUUAACCUGGGAAUGGCAUUCAAGACUGGUUAGCUAGAGUCUUGUAGAGGGGGUUAGAAUUCCAUGUGUAGCGGUGAAAUGCGUAGAGAUGUGGAGGAAUACCGGUGGCGAAGGCGGCCCCUGGGACAAAGACUGACGCUCAUGUGCGAAAGCGUGGGGAGCAAACGAGGGAUUAGAUACC